CUCAGGCACCCCACUGGGCAUCUCAGAGUCCAGCUCCAGGUUACAUCCCACAGCCUCAGAGGGUGGCUGAGCAGCAAGAGCCUGGAGCCUGAGGAAGACAGAAAGCAGGCAGACUUCUUCAGGAAUCUUAAAUCACACCCUUGUGUUUGCAGAAGAGGUAUGACAUGCAUACUUUCACUCAAGAUAGCCCGAGGGGACAUCUUUUCCACUGUCCGCCAUGUAUCUCAGAGAGGAAACUCUCAGGAUGAACACAAGGAGGCUGGGGAGACGGGCAGUAGGUAAAGGCACUUGUCACAAAGCCUAGAGGCCUGAGUUCAAAUGCUGAGACCUAUGUGAUGGA